rnacentral:rRNA from 1 species
AUGUCCAUUCUCACUUUGAUCCGCAUGAACGCCCCCGUCCAGUCGGCAUUCGGGCCAGUAUCCACCUCGAGAACCUUCCCAACCUGCUCACCAACCAGCUCCCCGGUCUCCCUGCUCAUCGACCCGGCCGGGACGCCGUACGUCCUGACCCAGAUCGGCACCGUGUCGAAACUGAGCUCGUCCACGGUGGUGGCUCCGGGCGCAAAAUCCUCCAUCACCAGCAGAUGGCCGGCGAAGCUCCAGGGCCCGGCAUCCAGAGCCUUCUCCUUGUCGGCCUCCUGGCGGAAGGUGAAGAGGAACCGGUUUCGGCCGAGGUCCUCGCACUCGACGCCGGAACCGGGGCUCCACACCGCCCCCAGAGACGUCCCCACGUGCUGCGCUAUGGCCGGUUUCUCCGAGAGGAGCUUGCCGACCGCCUGGAUCUUGCCGCUCGCCUGCGGGGAGGGGCAUGGCUGCUGCUGCUGCCUGCCGGUGAUCCUGAUCCCCUUCUUCUCGGCCUCGGAGAGCUGCAGGCUGCCCAGCUUCCCCUGCAGAAAUGCUCUCCUCGAGCCCCCCAUUGCCGCAGUGCUGCUAGGAAUCCGCCGCCGCCGCCAGGCACAGGAGCCUAGGCUUUCGGUGGUGGCUUCUCUCGGGAAUGCCUUCGGAAUUCGGAUCCUAUUCCUCACUCGAUUUCAGAUGGAGGCGGCAGCGCUGGAACUUGAACACGGGUUGAGUUGA